AAGGCGUCCCCGGGACCGCUUCGGGUGCAGACAGAGGAAAGUGGCGCCGCGUCCCCGCCGCGUCCCGGCCGCGCUCUGGGGAGGAGAGAACAGAAGACUGAGGGGCGGCCUUGUCCUCUCUGCCUGGGUGAUAAGCGCAGGCACCUCUGCCCUGCCCUCCUGCUGCAAGGACCGUUUCCGUCCAGUUCCCAUCCAGUCUGCGGUCUCACCGGCUUCCCAUGCCGGCAGAUGUGAGCGCAAAACUCCGUCGGGUAGUUUCAAUUGACACAGAACAGACACACCCUGUACCUGAAUGACUCAGAAGGAGGCUGAAAGAAUAAACAACUGGCUUCUGGGAUCUUAUGACUUUGCAAAGGGGAAAAAAAAAAAAAAUCAAAUGACAGUUAGUACACACUUGUCCCAAAAGACAUCAUCAACGGUCUUGCAGCCAGCACACACCCACCGCAAAUUUGACAACAGUCUGUGCCGACCGUGUAGAAAUUAAAAUAACGGUCCUCUAGACUCUAGAAGCAACUCUGGGUCUGAGGCCGUAUUUCACUUCAAAGGGAAGAUAUCCUGUCUACUCAGCACAACAUGCUGGAUGAAGCUGGCACCCUUCACCCCAUCCAUUAAUUUAAAGGGAAAGGAACUAAAGUAAAUUGCACAACCCAGACUGUAUCAGACAUGUGAUAAACUAUGGAAUUCAACACGACUACUCUGUGAAGCAAGCAUUGUUGGCCAUUUUGUGGAUGAAGGAAAAUUCAGACAGUUUAAAUCCACAGCUAGUGAUUGGCUGAGCUAGGUUCCAAAAUGUAUGUGUGUACGAAUUUACAUAUUUAUUCAUUUUGCAUUUCAGGGCUGCACCCAUGGCAUAUGGAAGUUCCCAGGCUAGGGGUCGAAUUGGAGCUAUAGCUGUCACAGAAACUCAGGACCCAGGUUUCAACUGCAACCUACACCGAAGCUCACAGCAACUUCAGAUAGUUAACCCACUGAGCAAGGCCAGGGAUCAAA